GCGCAGCGCGGCCAUGGGGCGGCGGCGGCGGCGGCGGCGGCGCGACGGCGGCUAUCUUAGGGGCACCCUAGUUCUCCUGGUCUUAGCCUUGUGCGAGGUGCCGGGGGCCCGGGGCCGGGUGCUGGAAUGGUACUCGGCCCUGGUGAGCACAGUGUACGUGGACCCGCUGACGAACGAGACGGUGCAGGGCGCCACCGGAAGCGGUCGCUACGGCGACAACUCGCCUAAGGAGAGCCUGCAGGGCCUGGUGGGCAUACCUCGCGCUCCGGGCCGCGACCCCAAGGGCUGCGCUCCCAACACCCGCUACUACGUGCCCGCGCUGGGGGGGCGCGCGUCCGCCAGGCGCGAGCCCUGGAUUGCGCUGGUGGCCCGUGGGGACUGCACCUUCAAGGACAAGGUGCUCAAUGCCGCCCGCAGGAACGCCUCGGCAGUGGUUAUCUACAAUGAGGAGCACUACGGCAACAGCACCAACUCCAUGUCCCACCUGGGGACAGGAAAUACAGUGGUAAUUAUGGUUAGCUAUCCAAAAGGAAUAGAAAUUUUGGGGCCAGUGCAAAGAGGAAUUCCAGUUAAAAUGACCAUAGAAGUUGGUACACGUCAAGUGCAAGAGUUCAUCAGUGGUCAAUCUGUUGUGUUUGUAGCCAUUGCUUUCAUCACUAUGAUGAUCAUAUCAUUAGCUUGGUUAAUAUUUUACUACAUACAGCGUUUCCUAUAUGCUGGUUCACAGUUUGGAAAUCAGAAUCAUAGAAAAGAAACAAAGAAAGCUAUUGGGCAACUUCAGCUUCAUACUGUAAAGCGUGAAGACAAGGGAAUUGAUAUUGAUGCUGAAAACUGUGCAGUGUGCAUUGAAAAUUAUAAACCAAAGGAUAUUGUUAGAAUUCUGCCAUGCAAGCAUAUUUUUCAUAGAACAUGCAUAGACCCCUGGCUUUUGGACCAUCGAACUUGUCCAAUGUGUAAACUUGAUGUCAUCAAAGCUCUAGGAUACUGGGGAAAUCUUGAGGAUUUACAGGACAUACCAGUUCCAGAAUCCAUGCCUGGUAGUGUUUCAAUUGUGAAUUUGAGCGUCACUUUGCAAGAUGAAGAUAGGAAUGAAGUAAGCCAUUUGCCAUCAUCUUCUACAAAUGGAUCUGCGUGUAAUAACUUUAAAGAUGAUACAGAGGAAAAUAUUGCAUUACUAGAGAUGACAAUGAUACUCCACAGGAAGAGCCUGUCUUCUAAUGGACAUUAUCAUUCAGUAGCUCCACAGCAGCUUUUUGAACUGCAUCAACACAUACUUUAUACAUUGGAAAAAUUAUUUUACCUACAUUUAAAACCCAACAUGAACAUGAGGACAAAAGGUUACCCUAUUUGAUAUAACGGGAGCAGAUUGAGGUAAAAGAUGUCUGUGUGUUUGUGAGAGAGAGAGAGAGAUUUUUCAGGGAAUGAAUGUGACAGAAUACUAAAUCAUUAUCCUAGGUUUUUUUAGUUAUUAAAUAUCUUAAUCUGUUUUUCUUAGUAUAAAAGACAAUUCUAGGUUAGAACUAGGUUUGUAUUAAUCUUCAAAGAACUCCUUUCGAAUUCUUAUUCAGAAGACAAGAGAGAAUACAACAGAUUUUAUGUAUCUACUUUGUUUCUACUUCCAGGUAGUAGAAUGUAAGGGUGCAUGUGAAGAAGCAUGCUAGUAUUUUUUUUUUACUCAGACAAUUGGGGUUUAGUGACUUCCCCAGGGUCACAUAGCUAGCAAGUAUUAAGUGUCUUAGGCCAGAUUUGAACUCGGGUCAUCCUGACUUUAGUGCUGGUGCUCUAUCUUCUGCGCUACCUAGCUGCCCUGCAUGGUAGUAUUCUUUAGAUAAAGAACACCUUCUAAAUUGUUCCUUUGUCACCUUAUGUGUCCUAAAGUAUAUAGUCCAAAUUUGUGGAGAUUGGCCAAGAAAAAACAUUUUAAAACUAAAAAUAAAUUCCUAUUUUCCCAUAACAGCCAAAUUGUAGGGUUUUAAACAACCUAAUUUAAUAGUUAAGGAAAUCUCUUGUGUGAAAUAGAUUUUGCUUCUUAACCUUGUGAAUAUAAAGAAAAUUUGUGACUCUUGGUAAUCAUUAAUACCUCACUUGCAUUGAUAUAGCAAUUCAGAAUGCUGAGAUGAGUGACAUUUUAAUAGUUUAGUUUGCUUUAAGUAUCAAAUAAUGAUCCUUUUCUAAUGGAAAAAUGUCAUUCAUUGCUUUUUUCUUUCUGUGAUGAUUAUGACUUCUCAAAGAAUUUUAUUAGGAAAAUCUGUGAAGCUAACACAGAAGAAAAAAUUUUAAUUUCUGGCAGCAUUUGCCACCUAUUUGACUCAAAAGUUUAAAUGUGAAGCUUACAAAUAAAAGGAGUAUAGAAUGAUUGCAGGCCCUUUUCCAGAAACCCAAAGGUCUAUGACAGCCAUGAAGAUUCAAUAGAAGGCUGAGAAAUGUGUCACAUUUGAAUAUAUGGCUUUCUCACACCCAGAAAAACAAAAGAAAUAAUUGAAAAGACAUAAGCUACAUCACUUUACAGCAAGGUGCACUGAAGCCCUGGAGAGAGCUGCAUUUGGGACUUUAAAAAACGUUGAAACUGUACAAAUCUUGGCAAAGGUGCACUGGAGAGCUGCAUUUGGGAAAGGAGCAGAGUUCAACUUCAAAAGUCAAAAUAGCAGGGGAUGGGAGGGGAGAGGAAAAAAAGAAAAGCAAGAAA